GGUGCCCAAUGGGAGAACAAGGGGCAGUAGGCACAAAUGUGAAGUCCCAUCUGGGGCUGAGUUUGGCAGUGUCAUUAAAUGGGGAAGAAUCACUGCCUUUAUGACGCAGCAGAGGCUGGAGCAGAGGAAGGACAGAUGGCCUGAACAAGGCAACAUAACAUUCUGUAGAAGGCUGUGAAGCUGUGGGCUGUUGGCCAUAGGCCUGCAACUGCUCAGGGACUACUUGGGUAUCAGUCAGCAUGUUAAGAAAUUGUGUUGCGAGCAGGACAUCAGUGGUUUUCAUCCCUCAUCCCACCUGGGGAGGAGUGAGCAAACAACUGUGUGGUGCUCAACUGCCUGCCAGAGUUAUCAAGCCACUACUACUGAAGCUGACUGAAAGCUUUAUUUUGAACUGGAUGGAAUACAACCAGGACCUAACAAACAUCUCAACACAACAACAAUAUCUCUAAACCCAUCAGAUUUUUAAAACUGCAUAUGUAUCAUAACGUUGACACCACAUGCACUUCUGCCAAGACAGUUUAUGAGCUUUAGGAAUGACAGAUGAACUACACUGCUGAGAGUUCUGCAGCAACAUUUCCAACGUGUUCAGAGAUGCGUACAAUUUACCUCAGUCUAAGUGUGUUGCAAAGGAAGAAGAUGAAGACAAACCAUUUUGCUCAAGUGUGGAUACCAAUUUGCAAAGGCAAACAUUUGCUUCUGAAUCCACUAUUGCAUGUUAUGCAGGUAUUAAAUUGGAUUUAUGUUAGAAGUAAAUUGGAUGUUAAGGUAGCAUUAAAGAAACAAUUUAAUAAAAACAUUCAAAACAAGUUGAAAGUAUUGAAUUAAAAUGAUUUAAAACAAAAUGACUUACCAAUCCAUCAGUA